ACUGCUGAGGAGUCCCAUAAUAGAACGAAACGGCCGUUCAGU
rnacentral:hammerhead_ribozyme from 1 species